rnacentral:sRNA from 1 species
GUUUCAACAAAGAAGAAUGUCCGUGUUUAUGAUCUGUUGAAGCAAAAGCUGAUUAAGAAGUUGGAGACUGGAUUACGUGAAGU